AGAGUUAAACAGUACGUGAAAUUGUUGAAAGGGAAACGAUUGAAGUCAGUCAUACCAACGGAAAAUCAACCUUUUGAGUUUGGUCUCGUGGGUUUUGAAGAGUUUAAAAGCCUUCAGAUUUUCAAGAUUGGGUUCUUCUGGUGUACUUUCUCAUAUGGUUAGUCAACAUCGGUUUUGAAUGUCAUAAAAUGACUGGAGGAAUGUGGCUUCGAUCUCGUAUUGAAGUGUUAUAGCCUUUGGUAGAUGUGAUGUUCGAGACUGAGGAUUGCAAUGGAUACCCUUCUGGGCUAUUCGUCUGAUCUCUGAAACGUUGCCUUGAUGUCGAAAGCUUGCUUAUGAUGUUAGGGUAUUAUGGUCAAAAGGUUAGAACAAAUUAAAUUCGUUAAUGAUGUUGACGUAAUAACUUUAAAUGACC
rnacentral:ncRNA from 2 species